UAGCACCAUUUGCUGAAAUAAAUGACCAUGGCUUAGCUAGUUGCUACGUUGAGACUAGCGUUAGCCGUGGUAGCUAAUUCUGUGGUUGGCAUGUAGCCACGGCUAUCGCGACGCAACACAAUAAUUGACUAAUGUUUACCAGCUGUGCCGUGCUUAUCAUAUUAAACAGUGCUCUACUGGUUGAAGUAGUGAGAGUUACUUAAGAAGUGGGUCAAGUCUUCGAAUUGUUGCUAACCUCUAGCUAUAUUGCUAUGUUUUCUCCAGGUUAUUUUGAAUGGACAGCUUUGUCGCUGAUAAGCUAACUGACUGGCGGCUGUCUGAGCUGACAGAGAAUUUUAGAGGCCAUCCACAAACAUAAAAGAGGCCCUGGCGCUAUCAUUGGUUCAGACAUUCCCUGAAUGAUGGAUCAGAAAUUGGCUAUUUCCAGAGACUCCAGAAUGAAAACCAAGCUCUGAGGGAGGAGAACCACACCCUGAGGGAAAGCAAUGCACGAGCAGCUUCGGAUGACAGCGGCUCACUUCAAGAGCAGGUGAAGCAAGUUGGGACAAUGUUGAAGACGUUUGCUUGCACUUGGCAAUCAGGUGCAGAUCAGACCCUAAUGCUGCGACGUCUUGGAGAGUUUAGCGAUGUUGUGCGUAGCAUGGACAACAAAAUGGAAACUAUGCAGCAACAUUUCAGUGCCAAUGUGUCUGUUGGAGAGCCACUGAUGAGGCGGUCCAGGUUAACGUUACGCGUUACCUGAAAGCAUCUGACCGUGAAGGCGGAAAAAGGCGCCGCACAGCUGA